UAAGCGUAUAGCUUUUCCCCUU
ensembl:ncRNA